GACGAACGCUGGCGGCGUGCUUAACACAUGCAAGUCGAACGGAAAGGCCCUGCUUUUGUGGGGUGCUCGAGUGGCGAACGGGUGAGUAACACGUGAGUAACCUGCCCUUGACUUUGGGAUAACUUCAGGAAACUGGGGCUAAUACCGGAUAGGAGCUCCUGCUGCAUGGUGGGGGUUGGAAAGUUUCGGCGGUUGGGGAUGGACUCGCGGCUUAUCAGCUUGUUGGUGGGGUAGUGGCUUACCAAGGCUUUGACGGGUAGCCGGCCUGAGAGGGUGACCGGCCACAUUGGGACUGAGAUACGGCCCAGACUCCUACGGUAGGCAGCAGUGGGGAAUAUUGCACAAUGGGCGGAAGCCUGAUGCAGCAACGCCGCGUGCGGGAUGACGGCUUUCGGGUUGUAAACCGCUUUCGCCUGUGACGAAGCGUGAGUGACGGUAAUGGGUAAAGAAGCACCGGCUAACUACGUG
rnacentral:rRNA from 1 species